rnacentral:rRNA from 1 species
GUAGGUGGCAAGCGUUGUCCGGAAUUAUUGGGCGUAAAGCGCGCGCAGGCGGUCCUUUAAGUCUGAUGUGAAAGCCCACGGCUCAACCGUGGAGGGUCAUUGGAAACUGGGGGACUUGAGUACAGAAGAGGAAAGCGGAAUUCCAAGUGUAGCGGUGAAAUGCGUAGAGAUUUGGAGGAACACCAGUGGCGAAGGCGGCUUUCUGGUCUGUAACUGACGCUGAGGCGCGAAAGCGUGGGGAGCAAACAGGGAUUAGAUACCCUGGUAGUCCACGCCGUAAACGAUGAGUGCUAAGUGUUAGGGGGUUUCCGCCCCCUUAGUGCUGCAGCUAACGCGUUAAGCACUCCGCCUGGGGAGUACGGCCGCAAGGCUG